CUUGAGCGCCCCGAGCCACAGCGGCCGGUCGCCGGGCCUUCCCCGCCCGUACGCGGCUUGCAGGGCCCGGGCCUC
rnacentral:antisense_RNA from 1 species